CAUUUGCCUAAAUAAAAAUGUUUUAAAUUUAUUUCCAAUUACUGAAAGGCCAAUUUAGAUGAUUUUGAAAUAUUUUAUUGGUGGGAAUAUUUCGUGAUUAAUAUAAAUUAUCGGAAUAGUGAGGUAUAUGGUAUCAGUUGAUCAAUUAGCAGUAUUAACAUUAUUUUAUUAUCUGUUUUCACAGUAUUUGUCAAAAUGUUCAAACUUCGUAUGUUCGUGUUUGUCAUGCUCGUAGCCAUGGUCGCUGUAAACGUCAUGGAAACUGAAGCCUCACCAUCACCAGACCAUAAGGCCGAAUCUUACCAAAACCAAAACUUAAAGGCAUAUCACCCAACCAAGGUGGAAAUCAAAAUUCAUCAUGAGGAACAUCAUAAACACCAUGGAGAUGGCGGUGAUGAUUGAAACGUUUCUGCUAAUUAAUAAAGGACCUUUGUGCCAUAUUCUUGGGAUGAGCAACUAAAUUUUUUAACCUUUUUGUUAUGAUUUUGUUUGAUAGUUUUAAUAAAGUUUUUGGUUUUGUAU